UACGUAGGGUGCAAGCGUUAAUCGGAAUUACUGGGCGUAAAGCGUGCGCAGGCGGUUUUGUAAGUCUGAUGUGAAAUCCCCGGGCUCAACCUGGGAAUUGCAUUGGAGACUGCAAGGCUAGAAUCUGGCAGAGGGGGGUAGAAUUCCACGUGUAGCAGUGAAAUGCGUAGAUAUCUGGAGGAAUACCGGUGGCGAAGGCGGCAUCCUGGACCGACAUUGACGCUGAACGGCGAAAGCUAGGGGAGCAAACGGG
rnacentral:rRNA from 1 species